AAAAGAAAAAGGCAAACUCGCCGAAAGACGGGGACGCAAAGCUACAGGGUCUAAGGUGCUGACUGCACUAUGACAGCCUGGUUGCCAUC
rnacentral:ncRNA from 1 species